CUAAUGAGAGAAUAUAAUUACAUAUUUUCUAAGAAUGGACAAAAAGUCAUUUGAAACUGGAUUACCAUACCCUGCGUUAAGCAAUUCCCAAGCCACAUGCUUCACUCAAUUCACAGAUCAUCAGCAGAAGGAUUAAAGAAGGAAAAGAGAGAGAAGAAGUUACUGCUGAA
rnacentral:lncRNA from 1 species